GAGAAACAGAGGGAGAAUCUUAGAAACAGAGAGAGAGAGAGAGAGAGAGAGAGAGAGUCGCCAAUUGCGUCAAGCCGUAAGACAGUCUAGGCCCAAUCUUAAAGACCGACUUCAAUCUUUGUUUUUAGAGAUUCCGAUCAAGAAAGAAGAGAACCGUCCCUCAGUUCCUCUCAAAAAAUCUUUGUUUCCAGUUACGCCAAAACGACCUUUUUGAUUUUCGAUUUUUCCAGAAAAAGAAGCAGAAGGAGUAUGCUAGACUUAGACCACCGGAACCGGCACUGGUAAUCUAAAGGUGCACGCAGGAUUUGAGAUACGGACAUAGAGAGAGAACUACCACGGAGAUAAAAGCAGAAGCCUUUUCCUGCAAUUAAGGUCGUUGCAACAUGUAGAAAGCAUUUGGCAAGGGAAAGUGCUCACUUGGUUUUAAACAAAGCUCUCUCUCAAUGCAAGGUCUUAAUUGCUAUUAAGAGCUGGAGAGUAGUUGAGAAACUGCUAGAGACAAAUAAGAAAAUGGCUAUUAAUGAAGUUGAGAAGAGGGCAAAAAAUGUCAAUAUUCUUAUGCACCAAGAAAUUUAUGGAAAAGAAUUGCGCUAAAAAGCAUCAAGUAGAUGUACGUGGCUUAGGAAAGGGAUCAGGUAGCUGCAUAUCUCUCUAUGAGAUUUCAUAAAUGUAACUUUGAUUAAGUGCUAUCAUCUUUUAUUUUUUUAUAGGGUGGUACAGUGAUUGGUAUUGAUAAAACUCUACAAUAUAAGUUUUUCAAGAGUAUUGGUUUUUUUUCCCCUGCCCUAUGACAUAUCUUUUGUCCAGUUUUUGUAUUCUUGAAAUUAAUUGU